AGUCGAUGCCCCGGUAGCUCAGAGGUAGAGCUCCUGCAUAUAGCGAGCGAAAAGGGGAGGUCGCAGGUUCGAAUCCUGCCCGGUGGCUA